UACGUAGGUGGCGAGCGUUGUCCGGAUUUACUGGGCGUAAAGAGCGCGCAGGCGGUCGUUCAAGUCGCGUGUGAAAGCCCCCGGCUCAACUGGGGAGGGUCACGCGAUACUGAUCGACUCGAAGGCAGGAGAGGGAAGUGGAAUUCCCGGUGUAGUGGUGAAAUGCGUAGAUAUCGGGAGGAACACCAGUGGCGAAGGCGACUUCCUGGCCUGUUCUUGACGCUGAGACGCGAAAGCUAGGGGAGCAAACGGG
rnacentral:rRNA from 1 species